GAUGAACGCUGGCGGCGUGCCUAAUACAUGCAAGUCGAGCGAACAGACGAGGAGCUUGCUCCUCUGACGUUAGCGGCUGACGGGUGAGUAACACGUGGAUAACCUACCUAUAAGACUGGGAUAACUUCGGGAAACCGGCGCUAAUACCGGAUAAUAUAUUGAACCGCAUGGUUCAAUAGUGAAAGACGGUUUUGCUGUCACUUAUAGAUGGAUCCUCGCCGCAUUAGCUAGUUGGUAAGGUAACGGCUUACCAAGGCAACGAUGCGUAGCCGACCUGAGAGGGUGAUCGGCCACACUGGAACUGAGACACGGUCCAGACUCCUACGGGAGGCAGCAGUAGGGAAUCUUCCGCAAUGGGCGAAAGCCUGACGGAGCAACGCCGCGUGAGUGAUGAAGGUCUUCGGAUCGUAAAACUCUGUUAUUAGGGAAGAACAAAUGUGUAAGUAACUAUGCACGUCUUGACGGUACCUAAUCAGAAAGCCACGGCUAACUACGUG
rnacentral:rRNA from 1 species